CUGUCGCAUUUGAUUCAGGUGGACAUGGGGACGGAAAAGUUGUGAAUGACGACGAGGCUGAAGGUUCAGAAUUCACUGCUUCGUGAUAUGUCCAUUAAAAUUUUUGCCACACGUCAACAUUACAUUCAUUCACCAGUGCCACUAGCAAAUUUCCAACAUUGAUUAUACUCAUGGAGUCAGACAUGCGAUAUUCUUGCUGUUUGUUUACUUCGAAAAUGUGGCUGGAACAUUCUUUAAUUUACCGAUUUGAUGUGAAGCACUUCUAUAUGCACCACUCGCAAGGCUAUAAUGAUUGUUCAGAAGGACAGCCUUCUCACUUUUACUGGCUCAUUGUUGGUGUAAUUGGUAAUAGCAUUUCAUCAAACGUGGAGAACAAAUUCAAUUUUAUUCACCGGAUGUGUUGGAAAUUGAGAAAUCGAUGCCUCGAGUACCAGAAAAUACGAUCUUAUGUAGUCAUAGAAACCAAUUAAGAGAAUCAUUAAAACGUAAGAAAGUU